rnacentral:rRNA from 1 species
GACGAACGCUGGCGGCGUGCUUAACACAUGCAAGUCGAACGGAAAGGCCCUGCUUUUGUGGGGUGCUCGAGUGGCGAACGGGUGAGUAACACGUGAGUAACCUGCCCUUGACUUUGGGAUAACUUCAGGAAACUGGGGCUAAUACCGGAUAGGAGCUCCUGCUGCAUGGUGGGGGUUGGAAAGUUUCGGCGGUUGGGGAUGGACUCGCGGCUUAUCAGCUUGUUGGUGGGGUAGUGGCUUACCAAGGCUUUGACGGGUAGCCGGCCUGAGAGGGUGACCGGCCACAUUGGGACUGAGAUACGGCCCAGACUCCUACGGGAGGCAGCAGUGGGGAAUAUUGCACAAUGGGCGGAAGCCUGAUGCAGCAACGCCGCGUGCGGGAUGACGGCCUUCGGGUUGUAAACCGCUUUCGCCUGUGACGAAGCGUGAGUGACGGUAAUGGGUAAAGAAGCACCGGCUAACUACGUGCCAGCAGCCGCGGUGAUACGUAGGGUGCGAGCGUUGUCCGGAUUUAUUGGGCGUAAAGGGCUCGUAGGUGGUUGAUCGCGUCGGAAGUGUAAUCUUGGGGCUUAACCCUGAGCGUGCUUUCGAUACGGGUUGACUUGAGGAAGGUAGGGGAGAAUGGAAUUCCUGGUGGAGCGGUGGAAUGCGCAGAUAUCAGGAGGAACACCAGUGGCGAAGGCGGUUCUCUGGGCCUUUCCUGACGCUGAGGAGCGAAAGCGUGGGGAGCGAACAGGCUUAGAUACCCUGGUAGUCCACGCUGUAAACGGUGGGUACUAGGUGUGGGGUCCAUUCCACGGGUUCCGUGCCGUAGCUAACGCUUUAAGUACCCCGCCUGGGGAGUACGGCCGCAAGACUAAAACUCAAAGGAAUUGACGGGGCCCCGCACAAGCGGCGGAGCAUGCGGAUUAAUUCGAUGCAACGCGUAGAACCUUACCUGGGUUUGACAUGGAUCGGGAGUGCUCAGAGAUGGGUGUGCCUCUUUUGGGGUCGGUUCACAGGUGGUGCAUGGCUGUCGUCAGCUCGUGUCGUGAGAUGUUGGGUUAAGUCCCGCAACGAGCGCAACCCUUGUUCACUGUUGCCAGCACGUUAUGGUGGGGACUCAGUGGAGACCGCCGGGGUCAACUCGGAGGAAGGUGGGGAUGACGUCAAGUCAUCAUGCCCCUUAUGUCCAGGGCUUCACGCAUGCUACAAUGGCUGGUACAGAGAGUGGCGAGCCUGUGAGGGUGAGCGAAUCUCGGAAAGCCGGUCUCAGUUCGGAUUGGGGUCUGCAACUCGACCUCAUGAAGUCGGAGUCGCUAGUAAUCGCAGAUCAGCAACGCUGCGGUGAAUACGUUCCCGGG